GAUGAACGCUGGCGGCGUGCUUAACACAUGCAAGUCGAACGGGAAACCUUUUAUUGAAGCUUCGGCAGAUUUAGCUGGUUUCUAGUGGCGGACGGGUGAGUAACGCGUGGGUAACCUGCCUUAUACAGGGGGAUAACAACCAGAAAUGGUUGCUAAUACCGCAUAAGCGCACAGGACCGCAUGGUCCGGUGUGAAAAACUCCGGUGGUAUAAGAUGGACCCGCGUUGGAUUAGCUAGUUGGCAGGGUAACGGCCUACCAAGGCGACGAUCCAUAGCCGGCCUGAGAGGGUGAACGGCCACAGUGGGACUGAGACACGGCCCAGACUCCUACGGGAGGCAGCAGUGGGGAAUAUUGCACAAUGGGGGAAACCCUGAUGCAGCGACGCCGCGUGAAGGAAGAAGUAUCUCGGUAUGUAAACUUCUAUCAGCAGGGAAGAUAGUGACGGUACCUGACGAAGAAGCCCCGGCUAACUACGUG
rnacentral:rRNA from 1 species